GCAUAUGCAGUGAUUUCCUUAAGCAGCUGACAUCAGCAAAGUAAACAGCCAACACAUUAAAUCUAGUCAGUGAAAUUUCUGCCUUUCUGGGUUACUGGACUGAAGCUGAUUAAUAAGAUAGCCCUGCGAGCCCUUGUUCACUUCAUCAGCAGGCUGGAUAAAGUAAUCAGGCAGCCAACACCAAAUUAAGCAUGUCCAAGACUGUUUUGGAUUUGGGUGGCCAGAUUUUGGUAGCACAUGAGCUACAGGGAUGGCUUCUGUGAGAAGCUGCUGAAGCUUCCUCCAUGUCCAACAGAGCCAAAACUGAUUCCAAGACAGAUGUGCUGCUGGACAAGGUUGGGCUGAUUAGAAAUGGUGAUAAGGCCACUGUGUUAAAAUAUUUAGGAAGAAGAGAAGAAAAAAAGAAGCGAUUGCAUGGUUGUAAUUGUGUCCAGAGAAGAACAGAGUGAGAAUAUGUGAGAGGAACACCUCUGCAGACACCAAGGUCAGUGCAGAAGGAGGGUGAGGAGGUGCUCCAGGCACCUGAGCUGGGAUUCCUCUGCAGUCUGUGGUGAAGACCAUGGUGAAGCAGCUGUGCCCUUGCAGCUCCUGAAGGAUGGUGGAGAUACAGAGAUGCACCUGCAGCUCAUGGCAGAGACUCAUGCCAGAGUAGUGGGUGCCUGAGAGGAGGCUGUGAACCCAUGGGGGGCCUGUGCUGGAACAGGCUUCUAGCAGGGACCUGCAGACCCAUAGAGAAGGGAGCCCAUGCUGGAGCAGGUUUCCUAAUAGCCCAGCCUGUCCUUGGAGGACUGCACUACAUGGAAGAGUGAACCAUGUUGCAGCAGUUCAUGGAAUUCUCACAUGCCUGUGAGAUGGACUCAGGUUGGAGAAGUUAAUGGAGAAAUGUUUCCCAUGGGAGGAGCCCCAUGGUGGAGGAGAGAAGGACUCCUUUCCUUGAGCAGCAGCAGAAGCAACAUGUGAUGAACUGACCAUAACCCCUAUUUCCUGUCUCCUUGUGCCACUGGGUGGGUAGGUAGAGCUGGGAAGGAAGGAGAGGUGUGGAGAAGGUGUUUUUAAGGUCUUAUUUUACUUCUCAUUAUCCUGCUCUGAUUUUGUUAGUAAUAAAUUCAAUUAAUAUCCCAAAUUCUAGGCUAAUUUGCCCAUGACAGUAUUUGGUGAGUGAUCUCUCCCUGCCCUUAUCUCUACCCAUGAGCCCUACAUUAUAUUUUUUCUCUUCCCUGUCAAUUACAGCUCUGAGCUGAAACUAUCUUUUAGAUUUCUCAUCAAAUGUCAUCAAGACAAGAUAUUUUCCUUUCCUUAUAGGACAUGUUCUCUAGACAGAGGUAUCAGCUGAGAUAGACUCUUCCACAAGGUCUCCUUAGAGAUGAAAGACAGGAACUAGUUGAACAGAACAAGGAGGGAGUAAGAAAAUGUGCUGUUCAGUUCAUCUCAUCUCCUUAUACUGCAGAGUAGGUAAGUGUUUGUGGCUUGAAGUGCUGAGAGAUCCCAAAUGAGUCCUUUAUCCACGUACACUUUGAGUUUCAACGUUGUAUGUGUUACAGAAAAAUGCAGUGAACUGUGAUUUGAAAACCUUUGGGCUUGUCAGUAAGAAAAUGCAACUGGUCUGUUUCCCAUUUAGAAUUGUGCUUCUACAGUUCCUCAUUGCUCAUUAAGAAUCCAGAAUUGUUUCAGUCCAGAGUCUUAUGCAGCAACUGUUGCUCAUCUCACUUUAUGGAGAACAGAUCUGCUUAGGCAAGCACAGCUUUGUUUUUUGAGAAGAUAGGCUGAUAAGAGGAACUGUGUUGACAUCUACCUGCACUUCUCAAAAGCAUUUCACUUCAUACCACAUGACAUUCCAAUUAAAAAAUUAGAACUAUGCAAAAUUAAUGUAGCACAUAAUAAAUAGAUUAUAAUUGUCUGAUGGAUCUCAAGAAAGGAAUUGUAAAUUAGGAAUCAUCAUCCACAGAGGGUAUUUCCAGCAGGGUUCCAUGGGAAUUAGUCUAAUACAAUUCAGAGGUUUUAUUAAUGGUUUAGAAGUGAGGAAAUUGGUGCCUGUAAAAUUGGCAGAGGAUGCAGCAUUAGUCGGAGUAAACAGUGGCAAAGUUGGAUCAGUUUGACAGAUCAAUCUAGUUAAU